rnacentral:rRNA from 1 species
CUGAGAGUAAUACCGUAUACGCCCUUUGGGGGAAAGAUUUAUCGGAGAAGGAUCGGCCCGCGUUAGAUUAGAUAGUUGGUGGGGUAAUGGCCUACCAAGUCUACGAUCUAUAGCUGGUUUGAGAGGAUGAUCAGCAACACUGGGACUGAGACACGGCCCAGACUCCUACGGGAGGCAGCAGUGGGGAAUCUUAGACAAUGGGCGCAAGCCUGAUCUAGCCAUGCCGCGUGAGUGAAGAAGGCCUUAGGGUCGUAAAGCUCUUUCGCCUGUGAAGAUAAUGACUGUAGCAGGUAAAGAAACCCCGGCUAACUCCGUGCCAGCAGCCGCGGUAAUACGGAGGGGGUUAGCGUUGUUCGGAAUUACUGGGCGUAAAGCGCGCGUAGGCGGACAUUUAAGUCAGAGGUGAAAUCCCAGGGCUCAACCCUGGAACUGCCUUUGAUACUGGGUGUCUUGAGUUCGAGAGAGGUGAGUGGAAUUCCGAGUGUAGAGGUGAAAUUCGUAGAUAUUCGGAGGAACACCAGUGGCGAAGGCGGCUCACUGGCUCGAUACUGACGCUGAGGUGCGAAAGUGUGGGGAGCAAACAGGAUUAGAUACCCUGGUAGUCCACACCGUAAACGAUGAAUGCCAGUCGUCGGGCAGUAUAC